UACGGAGGAUCCGAGCGUUAUCCGGAUUUAUUGGGUUUAAAGGGUGCGCAGGCGGGGGAUUAAGUCGGCGGUGAAAUUUUGCAGCUCAACUGUAAAAGUGCCCUCGAAACUGGUUUCCUUGAGUGUAGAUGAAGUAGGCGGAAUUUGUGGUGUAGCGGUGAAAUGCAUAGAUAUCACGAGGAACUCCGAUUGCGCAGGCAGCUUACUAAACUACUACUGACGCUCAGGCACGAAGGCGUGGGGAUCAAACAGGAUUAGAUACCCUGGUAGU
rnacentral:rRNA from 1 species